AGAACGAACGCUGGCGGCAUGCCUAAUACAUGCAAGUCGAACGAACACUUCGGUGUUAGUGGCGCACGGGUGCGUAACGCGUGGGAAUCUGCCCCUUGGUUCGGAAUAACAGUUGGAAACGACUGCUAAUACCGGAUGAUGACGAAAGUCCAAAGAUUUAUCGCCAAGGGAUGAGCCCGCGUAGGAUUAGCUAGUUGGUGAGGUAAAGGCUCACCAAGGCAACGAUCCUUAGCUGGUCUGAGAGGAUGAUCAGCCACACUGGGACUGAGACACGGCCCAGACUCCUACGGGAGGCAGCAGUAGGGAAUAUUGGACAAUGGGCGAAAGCCUGAUCCAGCAAUGCCGCGUGAGUGAUGAAGGCCUUAGGUUGUAAAGCUCUUUUACCGAGUAUGAUAAUGACAGUAGUCGGAGAAGUAAGCCCCGGCUAACCUCCGUGCCAGCAGCCGC
rnacentral:rRNA from 1 species